CUUAACUCUGGCCUCUCAUUCUCCUGACCACUUGGUCUGGAUUCCUGCACCUCGAUCUCUCAUUCUGUGGUUGGCUGGCUUUGCUAUUGGACCUCUUACAUUCUGGAACCAGUGUUUGUUACUUCAUAUUCCAAAUUUGACUAAAACUCUUGGAGCUUUACCUUUGGACAACUUGACGUAUAACAUCUCCAGCCCAAACUCUCGCCUAUCCUUCAACUCAGAUCAGAUACCUGCCGCAAGAUGAUCCGUAAGACACAAAGAAGAACUCAGUGAAGUAAGAUAGCUCCACCUGGCCACCAAAAAAAUUAAAAUAUGUAAAGAAGAGCAGAGCCUGUGAAAGGGGCAAUAAGAUCCUGAAGGAGAGAAGUCAGUGUGAUGUUGGUGCUCAUUUGAACGAACAUAGCUGUUCCAUCCAUGUUAUUCUGCUCAGCCACCACAACAGAAUACCACAUAAGUCUGGCUUAAAUAGAAAGUUAUUCUCUUACAUUUUGAAGGCUACAAGUUCAAGAUCAAGACACCAGCAUAUGUGGUUUCUGGUGAAGCCUCUCUUGCUCACUUACAGAUGACCAUCUUCUUGAUAUGUGCUCACAUAGCCUUACCAGCAGGCUGUACGCCCCUUGAAAUGUAACUCUGAGAUGGGGAUUAUCAUGUAGUGCUGUGGGAGUGUAAGGUCAGACAGCAACUUGCCCACCUGCUCCGCAGUGUGGAUGGAUGAUUGACGGCUCCAGUUGAACUGAGGUCGACAGCUCCAGCAAACCAGAUAAAUCCUGCUCUUCGGUACAUGUUUACACCUCUACCUUUGAAUUCUUUCACACAUGGAGGGAAGAACCUGAAAUAAGACUAGCCAGGAGCUCCCAGCACCCGCAGCCCACAGCAGUAGAACCUUUAUUAGAGGUUACCUUGGAAUCAACAGCAAAAAGGUGAGGAAGACAGUAAGAGUGGAUAGAAGGAGGAGUUGAGCUGCAAUGUAGUCCCAGAGAAAGUACCAGAAUACCCUGCCAUAAGCUCUGGUGUUGAAGCAGCUCUUCAGAGAUUUGCCAACUUGAAGUGAAGGAAUCCACCUUUACACCCGCAUGUCAAUCAUUAUCAGGUAGAGUGCAGGCUACCCUGGAAAGGAGAAGUUACGGGGACAAGGCAAGUGUUUCCACAACAGCAAAUCUUCAAACAGUCUGACGAUGGAGGGCUGCCUUCCAGAAACAGUCGCAGCAACUGGGGACAUGAGACCUUUAUUUUAAUUUGUGCAGUACACGCAAUGUUUUCCACGGCUUGUAUGCUGGACAUUAUGAAUACAACUUUAUCUACUAUAAGGAUUCUGUUGUCUUUCUGUCAAGAAUAUUUAAAUGUGCUUUGCCAGACAACUAAUUGACUUGCAAAUCACCCUUGCCCUUUUGAAGCGUAUUUUUAAGUUCUGUUUUGAAGAGUCUAUGGACGUGGUUCUCAACUGGGGACAAUUUUUUUUUUUUUUUAAUUUUCACAAUUGGAGACUGCCAGUGGUACUUAGUGGGUAGAGAACAGGGAUAAUACUAAACAUCCUGUAGUGCAUAGUACAGACCCCUCUGCAACAAAGAAUUAUCAGGUCCAAAAUACCAAUGGUGCCAAAUGAGAACUCAAAAGUCCUGAUCCACAGUAGCUUUUCUUCUAGGGAUUAUUAUGUCCUAUUUGUAAGCCAUGACAUUCUGCUUGAGACAAUGGAAUGCCCAAAGUGUUCAAUAUGGUCUUUCUGCUCUGGAUGGUCAGAACUUUAAUAUCUUCUCAUCUUGUGAAACAGCCAGGAGUUCAGGGGAGUUGUUCCUUGCUUGACCAUGCACAGGCUCAUUCAGGGAAACAGUAGUUUAAUAUUUAGUGAGAUGAACCCUUUCACAGAUUUCUGGAGCUUUUUUUCUAUACAGAUGCUGCAUCCCCAGCACUGCCCCCAAAGCCCAGCAACAUCAGCCUCCCCACGCUGCUAUCGCUGUCACUUCAGCAAGACUGGUGUGCUCAAUUUGUCUCCACUUCUCUACACAUCAGUUCAGGAACUGCCUCAGUCAGAGAGAAAGCAAUUGCAAGUCUCACCAAGGUUGUUCCUUCUUUCUUAGAUCGCAUGCCCAUGCUGCUAACAUUUGAGAGCAGAGGAAGGUCAUUCCAACCCCCGACACUUCACCAGCAGCAGAAGCAAAAAUCUCUUACAAUUAGGUUUCAGUGAAUUCACUUCUUCCUCUCUCUUCCUUCUCCACCCUCACUUCCCCUUUACCCUUCCAGAUUGUCUGCGUAUCUAUAUGUGUUUUACACACACAUAAAUCAAACAUUGGUAAAUCUCUGUAAACAUUAAAAAUCUACUCUUAUCAUUAAAUACACUUUGUUCAUUCCCAAUUUCCUAAAUAGCACUCUGAAAAACACCUUCAACUAGUGAAAAAUGUUUAAUUAUCCCCUUAAUAUUUUGCAUUUUGUUUAGAAAGUAGCUCCUCCAUCGUGGAGCCUGCCUGAUUUCCCAAAACUGAAAGAGGACUUAGCAUUAAACACUCACUUGCAUUGACUUUUGUUUGAACGUAAGAUUUGUUAUACACUCAAAAUGUAUCCUCCACAAGCUCCUGCAAGAGCCAUUUUUACUGUCUAGGAAAUAUAUUCACAUGGAUGGCCAUGCCUUCCCCUACUUGCCUAUGAUAAAUAAUUGUUUAAAUGGUGAUGCCAGCAACUUCAUCACCUGUAGGCUCAUAAGAUUGUUCACUUGAACUCCUGAUAUUCUCUGAAACCAUAACACUUAAUGUGAUAGACUUAAUUUUACAUAUAUCUCUGAACCUCCAGUUAGCCACUUUCACAGAUUUAAUCCAAGUUCCUUUUCUCUUGAACAAUUUUGCACUGCCUAGAAUACAACAUUUUGUCAAAUUGCUUACUCUUUUUUAAAAAAUAUUUAUUUAUUUGAAAGUCAGAGUUACACAGAGAGAGGAGAGGCAGAGAGAGAG